CCUACGGGGGGCUGCAGUGAGGAAUAUUGGUCAAUGGGCGCAAGCCUGAACCAGCCAAGUAGCGUGAAGGAUGACUGCCCUAUGGGUUGUAAACUUCUUUUAUAUGGGAAUAAAGUGCUGUAUGUAUACUGCUUUGCAUGUACCUUAUGAUUAAGCAUCGGCUCACUCCGGGCCAGCAGCCGCGGUAAUACGGAGGGUCCGAGCGUUAUCCGGAAUUCUUGGGGUUAAAGGGAGCGUAGGCGGGUUGUUAAGUCAGUUGUGAAAGUUUGCGGCUCAACCGUAAAAUUGCAGUUGAUACUGGCAUCCUGGAGUACAGUAGAGGUAGGCGGAAUUCGUGGUGUAGCGGUGAAAUGCUUAGAUAUCACGAAGAACACCGAUUGCGAAGGCAGCCUGCUGGACUGUAACUGACGCUGAUGCUCGAAAGUGUGGGUAUCAAACAGGAUUAGAUACCCCUGUAGUC
rnacentral:rRNA from 1 species